UAGUCUACUACAAACCAGUUCUUUAGCGAAACAGCAAGUGUCCAAGAAGGAUGUAGGCCACUUACUCGUUUUGUUUGUAGUCACUCCGGAGAUGUAUAUUCGUCACGAUGAGUCCAACGUAAUCUUAAACAGUUUAUGAUUCUAUUAAACCCCUAAGCCUACCAUCGUAGUUCUCUGUCAGUCGUUCACUGUAAACCCAGGUAUGACAAACAUGGCCGACAGUAUGGAACGUACCAUUGGGCCAGGUGUAAGGGGGUGGACGGCCAAUGCCCAUCACGUUACGUUUGAGAAGGUCGAAGAGCGUGACUAAUGACUUGAAUAAACUUUUAGUCAUGGUUAAUGAUUAAGAAGCUUGGAAAACGUGAGAGCAAGUUGCAAACCAUUUUGAACAAGGAGAGAAUUACUUUAGAAGUUAUUUACGUAUGAAUCCGACAUCCUCCAAGUAUUUUUAUGAUCGGUAAUAAAAGUUUUCACGAGAACCUUCAACCUCUUUCAAGAGAAAACAUCUCAAAAUGUUCAUCAAAACAUUAUAUCCUAGGUCGAAGAACAAUCGGAUCAAGAAAAGGAUGCUGAUGUAAACUGAACUAUAUAAUUCCAUAAUAAAAUAACAAUUUAAACUUUCUUAAAAAGUGUUUUAAAUAGAUUAAAAUUAUUUAUUAUUAUUAUUAUUUUUCUAAUAAUUUUCUAAACAUUAAAAAAUGUUCUAGAAAAUAACAUCAGUUCGUGAUAAAGUAUAUGACAGAUCACAUAUUAUUAUGAGGUCAUUUCUAGCUUCAUUUGCGAAGAGUGUUAGUCUGUCGGUCUGGAGGCAUUAAAUGACUCUCGUUUACGACCUAAAAUGACAUUUGCUCGUGUUUCUGCAAUAUCUAUGACCGCGUAACAUGCAAUGCCUCUUCCCAGUUACUAAUUUCUUUGUUAUUUUCUUCUUCUUCUUUUUUUUCGUUACUCUUUGAAAGGGAUGUUACUUUUUAAGGAAAUUUAAAAUUCUCUUCAACUUCUAAUUAAUUAUAUAUUUAUUUUAAAGAUAUUUUAAAGUCUAAAACAUAAUUUAGAUAAUUAGAAUUUACCUUUCAAAGUCCUCAUCACGUUUAUUAUUUAUGAUAAUCUUUGAGUUCAAGAACAGGUUAAGAUUUCCAUAAAACAAUGAGUAAUUUAUUGUUUUUCGCUGUUUCCUCUUAAUGGAAA